ACACGAGAAGGGAGGUGGUUCGGCAGAUGUAUGGAAACCGGACGCGUGAGGUGACUGCGGGCUAGCGCCCGUCACCCGCAGUGCGGUGCCGGACCCGCGCGUGAGUGUUGCGCGCCGCCGGCCCAGUCCCAAUGCAGUCACCCGACCCGCGAGUCGCCGGUACGUCCGGCCGGCUCCUCCACGGAGGAACCCGACUCGCGGGUCGCCUGCG
rnacentral:sRNA from 1 species